rnacentral:rRNA from 1 species
AAGUCCCGUAACGAGCGCAACCCUCGCCCUUAGUUGCCAUCAUUCAGUUGGGCACUCUAAGGGGACUGCCGGUGAUAAGCCGCGAGGAAGGUGGGGAUGACGUCAAGUCCUCAUGGCCCUUACGGGCUGGGCUACACACGUGCUACAAGGGCGGUGACAAUGGGACGCAAUGGAGCAAUCCUGCGCAAAUCUCAAAAAGCCGUCUCAGUUCGGAUUGGGGUCUGCAACUCGACCCCAUGAAGUCGGAAUCGCUAGUAAUCGUAGAUCAGCACGCUACGGUGAAUACGUUCCCGGGCCUUGUACACACCGCCCGU